UUGAACGCUGGCGGCAUGCCUUACACAUGCAAGUCGAACGGUAACGCGGGGCAACCUGGCGACGAGUGGCGAACGGGUGAGUAAUGCAUCGGAACGUGCCCAGAAGUGGGGGAUAGCCCGGCGAAAGCCGGAUUAAUACCGCAUGAGACCUGAGGGUGAAAGCGGGGGAUCGCAAGACCUCGCGCUUUUGGAGCGGCCGAUGUCAGAUUAGCUAGUUGGUGGGGUAAAGGCCUACCAAGGCGACGAUCUGUAGCUGGUCUGAGAGGACGACCAGCCACACUGGGACUGAGACACGGCCCAGACUCCUACGGGAGGCAGCAGUGGGGAAUUUUGGACAAUGGGCGCAAGCCUGAUCCAGCCAUGCCGCGUGCGGGAAGAAGGCCUUCGGGUUGUAAACCGCUUUUGUCAGGGAAGAAACGCUCUGGGCUAAUACCCUGGGGUAAUGACGGUACCUGAAGAAUAAGCACCGGCUAACUACGUG
rnacentral:rRNA from 1 species